GGAAUAUUGGGCGUAAAGAGCUCGUAGGCGGUUUGUCGCGUCUGCCGUGAAAGUCCGGGGCUCAACUCCGGAUCUGCGGUGGGUACGGGCAGACUAGAGUGAUGUAGGGGAGACUGGAAUUCCUGGUGUAGCGGUGAAAUGCGCAGAUAUCAGGAGGAACACCGAUGGCGAAGGCAGGUCUCUGGGCAUUAACUGACGCUGAGGAGCGAAAGCAUGGGGAGCGAACAGGAUUAGAUACCCUGG
rnacentral:rRNA from 1 species